rnacentral:tRNA from 1 species
CAUUGAUAAUUAGUUUAAAAUAAAAUAAAUGAUUUCGACUCAUUAGAUUAUGGAUUCCAUAAUUAUCAU